CUGAACUGGUGGCAAGCCUGCAUCCCGACAGAGUGCCAGGAGGCUCAGCACCACUCCACCACUUCCGGGACAUGUGGGAUGCAGUGUGGUGGUAGCACUGCCUGGAACCAUCACAGUCUGCAGAGAGGCACCAUCUUUUUUUUGGAAGAUCUUGGGUUUGAAAUGCGAUCCCUGAAAUGAGACCAGGAUAGCUGUCAGAUCCUCUUCUCUGAAGAGAGUUUCAGUGAGGAACAGCUUGAGAUAAGCAGUGUGAACCAAAAGAGAUCCCGAUGGCUGUCAGAUCAGAGUGGCAGUUGGCCAAGAAGACAAAUUGCCUUCCGGCUGCAGGCACUUGCCAUAGCUGUUGUGGUGUGCCUUGGAACGUGAUGCCCUCCACAGGUGGCAGCCUGCAGCAAAAAAUUGGUUGGACCUGCAGAGAUAGAGCCCAGUGACAAGGGCUGGCACUUUGGAUUGCAACAUGACCGAAACGAAAAGCGUGAACACUACAAGAAUUUCUGCUCUAUGGAAAAAUGUUAUUUUUGGAUUCUUCAGGAAGGCGUGCAUAUAAAACCACCGGCUCCCUGCCUCAGAAAGACUGGGCUCUUCUGCUUCUGUCUGCAUGACUCUGUGAAGAAAUGAUCAUGGAGAAAUGUUUCUGGGUGAUGAAUUUCACACAGAACUCAGGUCCAAGGUCGUCUUCUUCUCUGGCAGGUCUGUGAUUUGGGGCCAGCCUUGAAGAAAUUCUGUCCUCUGCACGUGAGCAUAAGUCAAACGGGGAAGCAGUUCAGCAGGAGUC